GAAAGUGAAUACACUUCAACAUCCACAAUUCAAAAUGGAAAACUAAAUGCGCCAAACAUCAAGGGAACAUCAAGACUCAGGUUGGCCAUGAACCACCACCAACCACCGUGCCAGAGGUUGCCUCCGACAACGGUGGUGUCAGAAAACUCAAAUUAAGAUCACCAUUCAAUAUGCAAUAUCGAGUUGAUCAUGGAUAUGGAAGUGAAAUUGCAAAAUUCUCAAAGGAGAACUCAAAUCGAGGGGAAGCAUGUCAAGAACCCUAGAAGCUUAAAGUUAAAUUAAAUGGUGGUUACGAGGAAUCAAGCCCUAGGACCUUAGGGCUUUAAUUCCUCUUGUGAAAGCUUACAUGAUGGUAACUAGCGAUUGAAGAAAAGGUGGAGAUUUGAGGUUAGCCUAUCGGAGAAGAAGAUCAGAAAAAGCAUCUCAGGUGAGUUCUUUCCUUCCUCUUUGACUUUUCUGUCUCGAAUUCUCCUCUUCUUCUUUGUUCUUCUUCUUGAAAUGUGGAUGAGUGAAUUUAGUUGAAUGGAGUUGAAUUCCUCAAGGGUAAGGUUUUGAUGAUGGAGGUUAAUGGAGGUUCUGUUUAAGUGGUUGAAGGUGAGAACUUUCAGAGGUUUGAGAGAUUCAAGAAGAGUGAUUUUGAGAAUUUGUGAGGAUGAAGUGAUUUAGAGAUUUUUCGAGAUGAAUGACCCAGGUUGUGAUUGCGUUCUGAUUCCUCCUCUAUGAUUCAGGUGCAUGGUCAUGAUGCAAGGUUUGUGUGUUGCAGACAUGGUCCAUUGCUUGGUCUUCUAGGCAUAUGUCUGGUUUCUGCCAUGGUUUCAAGGACAAGGUGUGCUGGAGGCUGGUUGUAUUAGUAGGCCAUGGUUGCAUGACAAGUAACAUGGUGGCUUAGAAAUGUUGGAAACAUGCUUUCUUGUACAUGUAAUGUAAUGUUUGACCGUAUUGGAAUGUAUUGUAGUGUAUUGGGACCUGUUUGCAUAAUACUUGAACAUGCUUGGAUUUGACUUGGUUGGUUUUAUAGGUUUGUGGACAUGAACAUGAACAUGUAUAAUGGAAACUUAUAUUUGAAGCAACCAUGGUAAAAGCAAGUAAAUAUGGCUUUUGGAUGAUUGAAUCAAGGCCAAUGGGAUGAGAUUAGGUCUUAGGGUGGUCAAGGGGGGUCAGAUAACUUUGGUCAACUGAUUGACCAAAAAGUCAAUUGUUUGACCAAAAGUCAACUGUUGUCAUUUUUGUCAAACUUGUAUUUUUUUAUGUUAUGGAUUUUCUUGUAAUGAAAUGGACAUUUGGUAUUUGGUAUAUGGAAAUGAUAUUUGAAUGUGAA